GUGCUCGCUUUGGCAGCAUAUAUACUAAAAAAUCAGAAUGAUACAGAGAAGAUUGGCAUGGCCCCUGCGCAAGGAUGAUAGGCAAAUUUGUGAAGCAUUCCAUAAAAAA
ensembl:snRNA U6 U6 spliceosomal RNA